rnacentral:rRNA from 1 species
GACGAACGCUGGCGGCGUGCUUAACACAUGCAAGUCGAACGGGAUUUAGUAAACAGAACCCUCGGUGGAAGAUUACUAAUGAGAGUGGCGAACGGGUGAGUAACGCGUGAGCAACCUGCCUAUGACAGUGGGAUAGCCUCGGGAAACCGGGAUUAAUACCGCAUAAAAUCGUAGAAACACAUGUUUUAACGGUCAAAGAUUUAUCGGUCAUAGAUGGGCUCGCGUCUGAUUAGCUAGUUGGUGAGAUAACAGCCCACCAAGGCGACGAUCAGUAGCCGGUCUGAGAGGAUGAACGGCCACAUUGGAACUGAGACACGGUCCAAACUCCUACGGGAAGCAGCAGUGGGGAAUAUUGCACAAUGGGGGAAACCCUGAUGCAGCGACGCCGCGUGAACGAAGAAGGUAUUCGUAUCGUAAAGUUCUGUCCUAUGGGAAGAUAAUGACAGUACCAUAGAAGAAAGCUCCGGCUAAAUACGUG